rnacentral:ncRNA from 1 species
CUUAUCCAGAGUGGCGGAGGUACAGGACCUGUGAAACCACGGCAACCACCCACCUUGAACAGAGGGGGAACGGUGCCAUUUCCUACGACGUGUAUGCGAUCGAAAGAUGAGG